AUGGCCACAGUGGGUGUUCUGCACGUUCCAGCUCAUGCUGGGGGGUUUGCACUCUCCACCCCCUUUCACCUCUCACCUGCCAGCCACCUUCCCUUUCCCACUGCCUCCCCUGUGGAGCUCACGCUCCUCAAAGAGACAGCUUACCCAGCUCCCACAGUCGUGGUGUGGAGUCAAAUCCCCAUAAAAAGUCCCCCUGUGAGAGUGUAUGUACAGGUGUGUGUGCGUGUGUAUGUCUGUGUUGGUGCAUGUAGACGCAUGUGCACUCGUAUAUGCACACACGUCUGUAAAUGUACACCAGUGCACACAUGCACACAAGUAGUGUAUGUCUACGUACACACAUGUGCACACGUACUUGCGCACUUCUGUGUAUAUCUGCGUGCAUGUGCAUAUGCAUACAUACAUGCCCGUGUAUUUUUGUAUGUUCAUGCACACACGUCUGUGCAUAUGCAUAUCUGUGUGCAUGUGCAGACUUGCGUGCAUGUGUGUAUGUAUACGUGCACAUGUACAACUGUCCAUGCGUGUGUGCAUGUGUGUGUGCUUGUACAUACAUGUGCACAUCUCUGUGUGGCAUGUGCGUAUGUGUGUGUGCACAGCCCUGUGUAUAUACGCUUGCCCAUCUCUGUGUGUGCGUGCAUCCAUGGGGGUGUGCAUGACUCUCUGGGUGUGCACACGUGUGUGCAGCUGCACAAGCCAGUUCCCUGGGGCUCUGCUGAUCCUGGGGUGGGGGGGAUACGCCCUCCCACCUUCAGGUCUCAGCUCCACCGUCCUCUGCUCACUCCUCCCGACCACUUGCAGAUGCUGACGGGUCUCCCCCAUGGUCUGUCACCUCCUAUCAUAGCAUCUGGUUUUCUCUUCGUAGGGCUGAGAGGCACCUGCGGUGACAUUAGGACUUUUAUUCUGAUGUGCUCUGUGUCUCCCCAAGGGCUGGUGUUGUUCCCAGUGGGAAGCCCAGUGACUGAGCAAGGCCUGGCUCUCAAGGUUCGAGCUGUCCAUGGGCUUCCUCCUUGGCCGUAG
rnacentral:lncRNA from 1 species